UUCCGGUUGAUCCUGCCGGACCCCACUGCUAUCGAGGUGGGACUUAGCCAUGCUAGUCGAACGAACAGAACUAUGUCUGUAAGUGGCAUACUGCUCAGUAACACGUAGCUAACCUACCCUUAGGACGUCGAUAACCCCGAGAAAUUGGGGCUAAUAGGCGAUAGAUGUAUUGUCCUGGAAUGGUAAUACGUCCAAAGGUAUCCCAUACAUGUUUGGUAUACGCCUAAGGAUGGGGCUGCGGCCGAUCAGGCUGUUGGUGAGGUAAUGGCUCACCAAACCUUUGACCGGUAUGGGCCAUGAGAGUGGUAGCCCAGAGAUGGACACUGAGACAAGGGUCCAGGCCCUACGGGGCGCAGCAGGCGCGAAACCUCCUCAAUGCACUAACGUGCGAAGGGGUUACCUCGAGUGCCACCUGAAGAAGGUGGCUUUUCCUCGGUCUAAAAAGCCUAGGGAAUAAGAGGGGGGCAAGACUGGUGUCAGCCGCCGCGGUAACACCAGCCCCUCGAGUGGUGGGGAUGAUUAUUUGGCCUAAAGCGUCCGUAGCCGGCCGGGUAAGUUUCCCGUUAAAUCCAGCGUCUCAAGCGUUGGACUGCGGGAAAUACUGCCUGGCUAGAGAGUGGGAGAGGUCAGCGGUAUUCUGGGGGUAGGGGCGAAAUCCUUUGAUCCCCGGAGGACCACCAGUGGCGAAGGCUGCUGACUAGAACACGUCUGACGGUCAGGGACGAAAGCUGGGGUAGCGAACCGGAUUAGAUACCCGGGUAGUCCCAGCCGUAAACGAUGCAUGCUAGGUGUUGGGUUGGCCACGAGCCACCCCAGUGCCGCAGGGAAGCCGUUAAGCAUGCCGCCUGGGAAGUACGAUCGCAAGGUUGAAACUUAAAGGAAUUGGCGGGGGAGCACCACCAGGCGUGAAGCCUGCGGUUUAAUUGGAUUCAACGCCGGG
rnacentral:rRNA from 1 species